UUAACGUCAAGAAAUAAUCUUUUAUUUAUAUAAUUCGUACUUAGCCAACAAAGGAGAAUUUGUUUUAUAGAACAAAGGUAAUUGAGUUAAUCAUUCUUAAGGAACUAGGCAAAUUAAUUCUGUAACUUCGGGAAAAAGAAUACCUUAUACAAGGUGUCACAAAAUAACGAAUAGCGACUAUUUAACAAAAAUACAGGGUUUUGCAAAAUUGUAAAAUAUAGUAUAAGACCUGAAGCCUGCCCAGUGCUAGCAUAUUAAAUGUAAAAGUAAAUGCUGUUAAAUGAAAUACUAGUAAACGGAGGUCGUAACUCUAACGAUCAUAAAGUAGCAAAAUUCCUAGGCAAGUAAUUUUUGUCCUGCAUGAAUGGCUUAACGACUUUUCGACUGUCUCAAGAGUGAGCUCAGUGAAAUUAGAAUUUGUGUGAAGAUACACAAAAAUUAAAGUAAGACGAAAAGACCCUAUAGACCUUUACUAUAUUUUUACGUUGUUAUAAAAUUUUUCUUGUGUAGUUUAAGUGGGAGCAAUCACUUGCGUAACUGAAAGACCACUCGUGUUAAAAUUUUGAACUAAUUUAAAUUAAAAAAGCGUAAAAUUGGUAGUUUCGUUGGGGCGAUAAUCUUCGAAAAAGUAACGAAGAUCUACAAAAGUAAAUUCGAAUUCUGUAGAAAUGAAUUUUUGAGUGUAAUGGCUAAAAUUUGCUUGACUGUGAGAUUUAUAAAUCAAACAGAGAUAAUAUUUGUCGGUCAUAGUGAGCCAAUUAUUUUGAAUGGAAAAAUAAUUGCAUAAGAAAUAAUAGGUACCUUAGGGACAACAGGCUUAUAGC
rnacentral:rRNA from 1 species